rnacentral:rRNA from 1 species
UACGUAGGGGGCAAGCGUUGUCCGGAUUUACUGGGCGUAAAAGGUUCGUAGGUGGCUCGCCCAGUCGGGCGUGAAAUCUCCUGGCUCAACUAGGAGAGGUCGUCCGAUACUAGCGGGCUCGAGGCCGGUAGAGGGAAGCGGAAUUCCGGGUGUAGUGGUGGAAUACGUAGAUAUCCGGAGGAACACCAGUGGCGAAGGCGGCUUCCUGGACCGGUUCUGACACUGAGGAACGAAAGCGUGGGGAGCGAUCCGG